GGGGCUUUAAAUUUUUAUUCAUUGUGUGAAAAUUUUUUUAACAGGAAUAAAAAAAUACGUUGUUGGCCUCAUUAUCAAGACGUCAUCUGACCCAACGUGUGUAGAGAAGGAAAAAGUGUACAUUGGGAAAUUGAAUAUGAUUCUUGUUCAGAUACUUAAACAAGAAUGGCCCAAGCAUUGGCCAACUUUUAUCAGUGACAUUGUUGGAGCAAGUAGGACCAGUGAAAGUCUUUGUCAAAAUAAUAUGGUGAUUCUCAAACUCUUGAGUGAAGAAGUAUUUGAUUUCUCUAGUGGACAGAUAACCCAAGUGAAAGCUAAGCAUUUAAAAGACAGGUAAGUAAUAAUUAUGUCUUAGAGUUUCUUAAAUUAGUUUUUCAGAUUAUUUCAAGAAAAUUGGGGGUAAAUUGUAAAUAUAGUAGACCAACUGAUACCCAGAUAUAUGGUGCCAAAGAAGACUGCCAUUGAAGAAAAACCACCAGUGCUCAUUGUGCAUAGAAUUCAGUUCUGUGCUGCCAAUGCUUGAUUUAUUUUUCCCAUAAACACUACCUGAUAUCUGCCUUUAAACAAAUCUAAAAUUUUCACUUAAGUACAU